rnacentral:rRNA from 1 species
CCUACGGGAGGCUGCAGUCGAGAAUCAUUCACAAUGGGGGAAACCCUGAUGGUGCGACGCCGCGUGGGGGAAUGAAGGUCUUCGGAUUGUAAACCUCUGUUAUGUGGGAGCAAAUUAUAAAGAUAGUACCCCAAGAGGUAGAGACGGCUAAAUCUGGGCCCGUAGCUGCGGUAAUACAGAGGUCUUAAGCGUUGUGCGGAAUGACUGGGCGUAAAGCGUGCGGAGGCUGUUUCGUAAGUCGUGUGUGAAAGGCGCGGGCUCAACCCGCGGACGGCACAUGAUACUGGGAGACUAGAGUAAUGGAGGGGGAAGCGGAAUUCGCGGUGUAGCGGUGAAAUGCAUAGAUAUCGCGCAGAACUCCGAUUGCGAAGGCAGCAUGCCGGCUCCACACUGACGCGGAGGCACGAAAGCGUGGGUAUCGAACAGGAUUAGAUACCCGAGUAGUC